CACUUACAGUCACUUCUAAUGACCCUUAGGGAACUACUUGUGCUUCCUAUCUUCACAACUCUGAACUCUGCAUGUUGAGUGGUCUUGGUCCCUCAAGGGGACACUUGCUAAGAUAUAUAGCAAAACCAGCAUUGAAAUAUAAGCUGCAGCUGCUGCCUGGGUACUUUGGUCUCCUUAUACACAGAGACCUGCAGGCAAGAAAAGGAGUCAUCUUGCCAGGAAUAAUUGACUCUGAUCAUCAGAAGGAGGUAGGGAUCCUGUUACAUUGUAAAGGUGGGAAGGAGUAAGUUUGGAGCCCACGUGAUAUUUACCAAAUUGUGACUGUAAUGAGUAGGUAUAGCAACCUCACUCUGAAAAAUGCGUGAUGGUAGGGACUCAGGCCUCUCAGGGAAUGAGGGUCUGAGUCGCAGCACCACCUAAGCCAACAGCAGCAGCAGAGGUGGUACUGCAGGGUGAGGGGAAUCUAGAAUUGAUAGUGGAGGGGGAGAUGGCAAAUGCUGAUUGUACUGCCAAGCCUGCCUGCAGCAGUUGGGGCUGUAGUUUGUCCUGCUAACCUCUGUCUUCUAAGUUGCUCCAGAAAAAGAUCCUGUAGUACCUGCUCUCUGAACAUAUGUAGAGAACUAGACCUAUGUAGAGCAAGGGGUGGAUUGUGGUAAGCAAGGAGAUAUGCUGCCCAGAUUCACCUUCAAGAAAGGAUUGCUGCCCAUCUGCAAGCAAUGAGACAACCUAGGCUGGGAGAAGCCACUCCCAAGUAGCUGCACCUGAGGAACAAUACCCGAGGCAUUUUCUCCACAUCUGAAUCUGAUUUUGAUGGGAAGAUUCUGAACUUAAACUAGUGUCAUCAAGCAAUGAGACUUUUAGGGUACAAGAUGUACAGAGAUAUGUAAAGCUGGAACAUGAUAUCUUGAGAAGGCCAAGCUAUCCUUCUAGAGAUGUAGCAGAUCCUUGGAGGCACUACAUGGAAAGAAAGGCGACAUAAGGAGUAACAAAAGUACCCUGAGUCAGUAACUCCAAAGCCCCAGACAAGUGAGAGACCUUCUUGAACUUUCUUGCCCAGCUUAGCCACCAGCUGAAGGCAGCCACAACAGCAAGCCCACAACAUCACUUGAAGUAGCUAUAGAAAAUAGUUAAACUGGAUACCACAUUACCUCUAUAUUAAGCAACCAGACACUCUCUGGGAAGCCUCCAGGAACCAUAUGUGAGCCAGAACUGUAAAAGGACUCAGUUCCUUGUCUCCAUACAGGCUACUGAGUCCACUCUUCCCAUCUGGUGAAGAAGAGGUGGUGGAGGCCUAGAGAGUUAAGACCUGCCGGGUCAAGUCUCUGACUGGAAGCACUGCAGUAGACUCCUGCCAGGGUCUGCCAUUCGCGUGCAGCAGGGUGCUGUGUGGUGAGGACACCUUAAAGCAAGUGCCCAGUGAGAGAUCUACCAGAUUUUCUACAUCCAUCUAACAGGCCAAGGAAAAGAAAUUUGGAGAAUUACAAGGGAGAUUUCAUGGACUAGGCCUGGAGGAGCCAUCUUUACACAUUCUGUUCGUCAGCUCUCAGUCGUAUGGCCAUACCAAACUUGAGUGUUUUGAUCCAGUUCACAGGGCUUUAAAGAUACUUUGUGUGUGUGUGUGUGUGUGUGUGUGUGUGUGUGUGUGUGUAUUUCCAUAUGUAUCUAAGUCCAUUUUUUCUGAGUUUUCUGUUGUCAUCCCUUGAUUUGUUUAUUAUUUAUCCCUGUAUCAGUACACAUUGUCUGUAUUUUAAGUCUGAUAUUUGGUAGAUGGAGCCCCCUUACUUUGUUCUCUUUUUGAAAAAUAACCGUGGCAAUUACUGGCCAUUUGCUUUUCCAUCAAAAUUGUUGAAUCACCUUAUAAAAGUUCCAUGAAAGGGCUUCUUCCAUGAAUGUUUUGAUUUAAAUUGCAUUUGACUAUAAUUUUAUUAGAAUUAAAUUUGUAUCUGAUUUACCCCGGACUUUAUUACAUUGUAGUUGCUCAAUAAAGGCUUUAUUGACUAAAUAAAAAGAAGAUGACAAUUCUAAGCUUCAGGACAAUGAGCCCAUUAUAAGCCUUAACUAUGCUUAGAACUGCAAAUCAAUUUUAAAAUUGAGCAAAAUUAAAAUUAAAAUUUAACUGUUGCAGAUCCUCCACCAUAUAAUGUAGUCCAAAGAUAUGAUUGGUUUUUCAGGGCACUGAAUUUAAUCAUUCAGAUAUUUAACCAUGACAACCUCUGUAAGGUGCCUAGCACAUCAAUUAGUAUUGUUAUACAUGGUAACAAUGGAUGAUACUGUUGAAUACAUGGUAAUUCCCUUUUGUUAGAACAUUGUCCUACUUUAUUAGCAAAGAUCAUUAAAUGCCAUUUUUUAAAAGUAGCUGCCCCAGGGAAACAAAAAAAAAGUUGAUGUUUUAUUUAUUACUUUAAAAAUAUUAUGUAAUACUUUAUUUAAGUAUUUAUUUAUUUGUAAUACUUUUAAAAUUUAUUACUACUUUAAAAAAUUAAUUUGAGUGCUAACAGUCCCUAAUCAAGCUACAGCUAUAUUCCUGUAUUACUAUUUGAUUGCUUGCUGAAGUUUAAUAGCAGUAUACAUGAAUUUAAAAGUUACUCUUAUUAAAACCUUUUAAAUAUUUAAAAAUGUAAUAUAGAGCUAUGAUGGCGAGCUUUUUCUAAGAGGUAAAUGGACUACCAAUGUGAGCUAAUGAGUAAACUUUAGUAUUAUAUGAAAAAUAGUUAUAACACAAAGGAUUUUUCAAGGAAAGGAAAUACAUGUCAACUGGUAUCCUCACCUAUAUAAGCAUAUUCUAAUUAGAUGAUAUAAUCCCAGGGUUGGAAAUUGCCUUGAUAAAAUUCAUUACUAUUUCCUUCCUCUCUCCCCAUCUGUCUUCCCCAUAAUGUCUCUGUUUCUAAUCAGGAGGAAUAAAGUUCAUGGCUGAAAAGCAGUCUGGAAAUCCAGAUAGGCGGCAGGAAACUACAGGUAUGAUAUUCUGUUUAUAGAUUUUCUGUUUUCUGUUGAUAGAGAAGUCAGCAUAGUCUAUUAAAUUGAUGAGGUCUUUAAUGAUACGUUCUUUCCCUGAAUCUAUGAUAGAGAUGAAGGAUAAAAAGAUUCAAAAUAGACCUAAUAUGCUACAGUCACAUUACAAAUGGUGAGUCAGAUGUAGGAAAGAGUAAACAUAACAUUUCAAGGUGUCUGGGAGGAAAAAAAAAAUCCUCCCUUCAACUUCUAACUUCACUUUACCACUAUCCGCUAUCAGACUGUCCCAGAAAACUGAAAAUGACCCAGAUCUUGUGCACAAAAGCACAUGUAGGGCUUCUAGACUCUAAAGCAGACAAUUUGUAGUUAUAGUGAAUUGGCAGAACAUAGCUCUGCAGUAAGAGUCAUCUGUAAAACUGUACUGGCCAGGUGGCAUUUUGAGUUCUCUCCUGUCUGACUGAAGCUCAGAAAUAACAGAAUGUGCCACAGCUAGAGACCAAGCCCAUUCUUGGUGUCCUUAUAACCCUGAAGUUAAUUGUAUGCCCUUCUGCUCCACCAGGUUGCAGGGUGGAGGGAAGAGCUUGGACCCUGGAGGCAGGCAGUGUGGGUUGGAUCCCAGCUCUGUUACUUACCAGCCUUGUCUUGGGCCUAGGCCAUUGGAAUCUCAGUGGUUCUUUAUGUAAUAUGGGAAUUAAAAAAUAUUGAUCACAUUGCUGUGAGGAUAAAAUAGAUGAAGGAGCUCCUGCUAGAAAAGGGCCCCAUGCCUCACAUCUCUCACCAUUGACUCUCAAGUGCCUAAAAUUCCUGCAUUGCUCAUGACUGUGAGAUAAGGCAGGGGUGCCACACCAAGAAUGAAAGUGUAUAGCAUGUUGGUGGUAGGGCUGGAUGGCAUCUUCAAACUAGCACCUUGGUCACCAUUUACUUUUGCAAACUAGUUAAGCAGUCACUAUGCAGGGAAUUCCAAGGCUAGGACACCAUAUAGGAAAGUCUGGAAUAUGAAAAGCCAUUUAGAAGUAGAAGAUGAGGAACUAUCAAAGAGGACAGGCCUGCGAUGGGAGAGAGGGGUCACACUGAAGCACUUGGGUAAGGAAAUGUGAGAGUCCUCCAGGUUGGAAGAAAAGGGUAGUAAAAUCAAGUGGGGGUGCAGGUGGGAUAGGGGAGUGGCUAUGUACAGAAAUGACACUUGGACUUGGAGUUAUCCUUGGUUCCCCUCUUUCACACACCUACAACCAAAUCAUCAAUAAAUUCUACUUCCAGGAUUUACCCAGCAUCCACUCAGUUCUUACCACCUCCACAUAUACCCUGAUCUAAACCACCUUAUUCUCACGUCCUAAUUACCACAGUAGCUUCCUACUUGUGUCUGCCUACCAUUCCCUCUUAUCAUCUGUUCUCUGAGUACACAGUGUCAGAUCAUAUCACUCCUUGCUCAGAACUCUCUAAUGACUUCCCAUUUCACUCAAAAAGAAAAGUCAUUAAUAAGAAAAAACAAACAACCCAGUCCAAAAAUGGGCAGAAGACCUAAACA